rnacentral:lncRNA from 1 species
CUGCACAGGGAUAAGCUGUUAUUUACAUCGGUUUUUCUUUUUUCACUCUUCCUAGUCAAGCAGAGGACUGUAAUUCCUCUCUCCAUUAACUAGAUGUGACACUUCAGCAACUUUUUCCUGACAUACAUCUGUUUUUCUGGAGCCCCUUAUCCUGAGGGAUCUACUGGACCUCCAGAUGCCCUUCAAGUAUUAGAUACCCACUGUGUGAUUUUCAAGCUUCUCCUAAGAAAAAAAUGGAUGCUCUCCUGAGAACAUCCAAUCU